AUUGAACGCUGGCGGAAUGCUUUACACAUGCAAGUCGAGCGGCAGCGCGGGGGCAACCCUGGCGGCGAGCGGCGAACGGGUGAGUAACAUAUCGGAACGUACCCCGUCGUGGGGGAUAACACAGCGAAAGCUGUGCUAAUACCGCAUACGACCUGAGGGUGAAAGCGGGGGAUCGCAAGACCUCGCGCGAUGGGAGCGGCCGAUAUCGGAUUAGCUUGUUGGUGAGGUAAAGGCUCACCAAGGCGACGAUCCGUAGCUGGUCUGAGAGGACGACCAGCCACACUGGAACUGAGACACGGUCCAGACUCCUACGGGAGGCAGCAGUGGGGAAUUUUGGACAAUGGGCGAAAGCCUGAUCCAGCCAUGCCGCGUGAGUGAAGAA
rnacentral:rRNA from 1 species